rnacentral:tRNA from 1 species
GCCGGCCUAGCUCAAUUGGUAGAGCAACUGACUUGUUGACUUGUAAUCAGUAGGUUGGGGGUUCAAGUCCUCUGGCCGGCACCA